CUCAAGGGAACUCAGCAGUGAUAAACAUUAAGCUAUAAGUGAAAACUUGACUUAAUUAAAGCUAAGAGGGCCGGUAAAACUCGUGCCAGCCACCGCGGUUAUACGAGAGGCCCAAGUUGACAGACACCGGCGUAAAGAGUGGUUAAGUUGAAACUUAAACUAAAGCCAAACAUCUUCAAGACUGUUAUACGUACCCGAAGGCAGGAGACUCAACCACGAAAGUAACUUUAUUAAUCUGACCCCACGAAAGCUACGGCACAAACUGGGAUUAGAUACCCCACUAUGCCUAGCCCUAAACAUUGACAGUAUUCUACACCCACUGUCCGCCAGGGAACUACGAGCAACAGCUUAAAACCCAAAGGACUUGGCGGUGCUUUAGACCCACCUAGAGGAGCCUGUUCUAGAACCGAUAGCCCCCGUUCAACCUCACCCUUCCUUGUUUUCCCCGCCUAUAUACCGCCGUCGUCAGCUUACCCUAUGAAGGACAAAUAGUAAGCAAAAUUGGCACAGCCUUAAACGUCAGGUCGAGGUGUAGCGUAUGGAGGGGGAAGAAAUGGGCUACAUUCGCUACCAUAGCGAAUACGAAAGACGCACUGAAACGUCCGUCUGAAGGAGGAUUUAGCAGUAAGCAGGAAAUAGAGCGUCCCGCUGAAACUGGCCCUGAAGCGCGCACACACCGCCCGUCACUCUCCCCAAAACCACAGCAAGUUAAUUAAAACCUAAUAACCAACAAGGGGAGGC
rnacentral:rRNA from 1 species